CAAUAGCGUAUAUUAACGUUGUUGCAGUUAAAAAGCUCGUAGUUGGAUUUCUGGAGGGAGCGUCGGCCCGUAUUUACGAGUGCGUGACGUCUCUGUCCAUCCUUGCGGGAAGGCACGGCAUUGAUUUGUUGUGUCGGAUCGCAUCAUUUACUGUGAAAAAAUUAGAGUGUUCAAAGCAGGCUUUCGCUUGAAUACAUUAGCAUGGAAUAAUAAGAUAGGACUUUGGCGCUAUUUUGUUGGUUGAGCCUAAAGUAAUGAUUAAUAGGGAUAGUUGGGGGCACCUGUAUUGCGUUGUCAGAGGUGAAAUUCUUGGAUUUACGCAAGACAAACAGCUGCGAAAGCGUCUGCCAAGGAUGUUUUCAUUA
rnacentral:rRNA from 1 species